GACGAACGCUGGCGGCGUGCUUAACACAUGCAAGUCGAACGGAAAGGCCCUGCUUUUGUGGGGUGCUCGAGUGGCGAACGGGUGAGUAACACGUGAGUAACCUGCCCUUGACUUUGGGAUAACUUCAGGAAACUGGGGCUAAUACCGGAUAGGAGCUCCUGCUGCAUGGUGGGGGUUGGAAAGUUUCGGCGGUUGGGGAUGGACUCGCGGCUUAUCAGCUUGUUGGUGGGGUAGUGGCUUACCAAGGCUUUGACGGGUAGCCGGCCUGAGAGGGUGACCGGCCACAUUGGGACUGAGAUACGGCCCAGACUCCUACGGGAGGCAGCAGUGGGGAAUAUUGCACAAUGGGCGGAAGCCUGAUGCAGCAACGCCGCGUGCGGGAUGACGGCCUUCGGGUUGUAAACCGCUUUCGCCUGUGACGAAGCGUGAGUGACGGUAAUGGGUAAAGAAGCACCGGCUAACUACGUGCCAGCAGCCGCGGUGAUACGUAGGGUGCGAGCGUUGUCCGGAUUUAUUGGGCGUAAAGGGCUCGUAGGUGGUUGAUCGCGUCGGAAGUGUAAUCUUGGGGCUUAACCCUGAGCGUGCUUUCGAUACGGGUUGACUUGAGGAAGGUAGGGGAGAAUGGAAUUCCUGGUGGAGCGGUGGAAUGCGCAGAUAUCAGGAGGAACACCAGUGGCGAAGGCGGUUCUCUGGGCCUUUCCUGACGCUGAGGAGCGAAAGCGUGGGGAGCGAACAGGCUUAGAUACCCUGGUAGUCCACGCUGUAAACGGUGGGUACUAGGUGUGGGGUCCAUUCCACGGGUUCCGUGCCGUAGCUAACGCUUUAAGUACCCCGCCUGGGGAGUACGGCCGCAAGGCUAAAACUCAAAGGAUUGACGGGGCCCCGCACAAGCGGCGGAGCAUGCGGAUUAAUUCGAUGCAACGCGUAGAACCUUACCUGGGUUUGACUUGGAUCGGGAGUGCUCAGAGAUGGGUGUGCCUCUUUUGGGGUCGGUUCACGGGUGGUGCAUGGCUGUCGUCAGCUCGUGUCGUGAGAUGUUGGGUUAAGUCCCGCAACGAGCGCAACCCUUGUUCACUGUUGCCAGCACGUUAUGGUGGGGACUCAGUGGAGACCGCCGGGGUCAACUCGGAGGAAGGUGGGGAUGACGUCAAGUCAUCAUGCCCCUUAUGUCCAGGGCUUCACGCAUGCUACAAUGGCUGGUACAGAGAGUGGCGAGCCUGUGAGGGUGAGCGAAUCUCGGAAAGCCGGUCUCAGUUCGGAUUGGGGUCUGCAACUCGACCUCAUGAAGUCGGAGUCGCUAGUAAUCGCAGAUCAGCAACGCUGCGGUGAAUACGUUCCCGGGGC
rnacentral:rRNA from 1 species